rnacentral:tRNA from 1 species
AAUAAAGUGCCUGAAAAAGGAUUAUUUUGAUAGAAUAAAUUAUGUUAUUUAAUAAUAACCUUUAUUU